rnacentral:rRNA from 1 species
GAUCCUGGCUCAGGAUAAACGCUGGCGGCGCACAUAAGACAUGCAAGUCGAACGGAAGUCGUUGUAAUGAUGUUGACAUGGACAGAGAACUUGUUCGAAGAAAGUGAAGAUUGACUUACAACAAUGGCUUUAGUGGCGGACCGGUGAGUAACACGUAAGCAACCUGCCUAUCAGAGGGGAACAACAGUUAGAAAUGACUGCUAAUACCGCAUAUGCCUUAGUAACACAUGUUACAAAAGGG